UUAUUACUGUUAUUUGCUAAAGGUGGCAGUGAUUUUUGUUGUUGCUAUCCAGUUAAAGAAGUUGAGAUAGUGAAAAAUUCCUAGCUGAAUCUUCCACUUGUAUGCAUAUACCUCACAUUUUCUGGAGAUGUUCCGUGGGCUGAAGGAAGCUAUAUGAUAUAUAGUACAUUGUUCUCAUAGCUCUCCCGUAUUUUAUUUUGUCCCAUUGCGUUUAAAUAAAUUGGUUCGCAAUUACAGAUAUCAAGCAUAAAAUCUAUUUUGUAUUUAUUGAUUAUUUUCUUUUGAGCAAGAGAGCUACAACAGAGGUCAUAAGCUGUACACUAAUCUGAUGUAAAGUCACUUCUGUGUGAAUUUUUAUGAAAAAUCACAUCAAGAAUAUAAAGGAAAAAAGUUAGAACA
rnacentral:lncRNA from 1 species